UACGUAGGGUGCGAGCGUUAAUCGGAAUUACUGGGCGUAAAGCGUGCGCAGGCGGUAAUGCAAGACAGAUGUGAAAUCCCCGGGCUUAACCUGGGAACUGCAUUUGUGACUGCAUUGCUGGAGUGCGGCAGAGGGGGAUGGAAUUCCGCGUGUAGCAGUGAAAUGCGUAGAUAUGCGGAGGAACACCGAUGGCGAAGGCAGGUCACUGGGCCGCAACUGACGCUGAGGAGCGAAAGCAUGGGGAGCGAACAGG
rnacentral:rRNA from 1 species